AGGAUCAUCCCUUUAGACAUAUCAUACUUCAUUUCUCAAGUGAGCAGGAAGAAAAUGGGGAUUACCAAAGUUGGAAUGAAGACACCAGAUUCUAUUAUUCUUCUAGUUGUGAUAAUGGUUUCUCUACUUGCAGGUUGCUCGGCAAGGAGUUACUAUGAGUUUUCUCCGCCACCCAACAACUCUCCUCCACAGCAUCGGCAGUAUUAUGAAUUCCCUCCACCUCCCAAUAAAGAACUUGUUGCUCCCCCUCCUCCUCAUCGGCAUUAUUAUGAAUACCCACCACCACCUACUGCUUCUCCACCUCCUCAUCGGCAUUAUUAUGAAUACCCUCCACCACCUACUGCUUCUCCACCUCCUCAUAGGCAGUAUUAUGAAUUUUCUCCACCUCCUCCUCCUCCUCACCACCACCACCACCACCAUCAUCACAAAUCAACAAAAUCGCCUCCUCCUCCUCACUAUUAGUAACUUAUCAAAGCAGCCCAUGUGUGAGCGAUCGAUAAUCUAUAUUAUAUCUUUUACAGGAGAUGAAGGGAAAAGGUCAGCAAAUUUGAAGAUUUGCAAUUGUUUGAUGGCUGUGUCUUUAGGAAAAUAAUAGAAACAAAGUACCGUUAUCUUUUAUAUGUAUCGUUUGCGUCUUUGUAUUUUUUUUUAAAAUAGUACUAUAAAAAGAAUAUAACUAGUUCUUUUUUUGUGUGUAUACGUAAAAGUUUUUUUUUUCCCGUAUAGUUCAUCAAUUUAUAUAAAGUUUGAUGAUGUAAUUGUUUUUACGAAUAUUUGUUGCUCGUUGCUUGA